CAAAGGCUUGGUCCUGACUUUACUAUCAGCUCUAACUAAAUUUACACAUGCAAGUCUCCGCACCCCUGUGAGAAUGCCCUUAAUCCCCUGUCCGGGGCUGAGGAGCCGGCAUCAGGCACGCAUAAUGCAGCCCAAGACGCCUUGCUAAGCCACACCCCCAAGGGUACUCAGCAGUGAUAAACAUUAAAUAAUAAGCGAAAGCUUGACUUAGUUAUUGUUAAAAGGGCCGGUAAAACUCGUGCCAGCCACCGCGGUUAUACGAGAGACCCUAGUUGAUAAGCAUCGGCGUAAAGAGUGGUUAAGAAAAUAAUUUAAUAAAGCCGAACACCUCCUCAGUUGUUAUACACAUUUGAAGACCUGAAGCCCCCUUGCGAAAGCAGCUUUAAAUAUUCUGAACCCACGACAACUAUGACACAAACUGGGAUUAGAUACCCCACUAUGCAUAGUCAUAAAUUCUGAUAAAAACAUACAAUUUUAUCCGCCAGGGGACUACAAGCAUUAGCUUAAAACCCAAAGGACUUGGCGGUGCUUCAAACCCACCUAGAGGAGCCUGUUCUAUAAUCGAUAACCCCCGCUUAACCUCACCAACCCUUGUUAAUUCAGCCUAUAUACCACCGUCGCCAGCUUAUCCUGUGAAGGCCUCAUAAUAAGCAAAAUGGGUAAAACCCUAAACGUCAGGUCAAGGUGUAGCGCAUGGGCUGGGAAGAAAUGGGCUACAUUUUCUAAUUUAGAAUAUACGAACCACACUGUGAAAUCAGUGUCCGAAGGUGGAUUUAGCAGUAAAUAGAAAAUAGAGUGUUCUAUUGAAAUUGGCUCUGAAGCGCGCACACACCGCCCGUCACUCUCUCCAAGUUCAUUAAAAUAAUUAAAUAAAAAAUUAACCGAACAAAGGGGAGGCAAGUCGUAACAUGGUAAGUGUACCGGAAGGUGCACUUAGUUUAAC
rnacentral:ncRNA from 2 species